UACGAAGGGGGCUAGCGUUGCUCGGAAUCACUGGGCGUAAAGGGUGCGUAGGUGGCCAACUAAGUCAGACGUGAAAUCCCUCGGCUUAACCGGGGAACUGCGUCUGAUACUGGAUGGCUGGAGUGUGGGAGAGGGAUGCGGAAUUCCAGGUGUAGCGGUGAAAUGCGUAGAUAUCUGGAGGAACACCGGUGGCGAAGGCGGCAUCCUGGACCAUUACUGACACUGAAAG
rnacentral:rRNA from 1 species